rnacentral:tRNA from 7 species
GCCGAUUUCGCUUAGUGGUAAAGCAGCUGACUCGUAAUCAGUAGCCACGAGUUCGAUUCUCGUAAUCGGCACCA